AUGGAUGGCCAUCAAAAGUGUGUCCUCAGACAUUGGCAGUUAAAUAAGUUUGAGCCAAAAAGACAACAAAAUAACAUUUUCAUCUAGCAAAAUAUUCAAUGAUUCUUACUUUGGAAAAACAUGAAAAAAAUAGAAACCCUCAAACACUGGGUAUUAUGAUUGCAAGUUACUACAGCCAAUUUUGAAGGAAAACGGGUACCUGACACACUUCAGUUGACCCCCUUGGCAUGAUCUAUUCAAAUCAUAAAUGUAUGUGCUCUUUUUCCCGGGUUUUGUACAAUCAGGGAUCUUCCUAGGACUAUACCUACAGAUAUUUGAAUUAUCUGAAAUGGUCAGAAUAGAUGAGCUGGAUCUACACACAGCAGCGUAGAAUGACUUCAGAAAUAUCAUGCUCAGGAAAACAGUUUUGAAAAACAAUCUACAGCAUGAUCGAAUGAAAUUGACAACAUGCAGCAAAAGAAGCAGCAGUUCUUGAGGACAGGGAAAUGAGGGAUCCUCACGGCUCCUCCAGCCCACUGCUGGGAGGUGGUUUCCAGGCUGCACAACUGGGAGAGAGAACUCAAAGAAAGCCUGGAAAUUUUUCAGAGUUAAGAAGAGUAAGUGCAGAGUUGGAAAAAGCAAGACAGCUGGAUUUGGCAUGGCAGAGAGAGCUCAGCAUGUCUGCAGAGAAGUCUCUCAAUGUAUUAACCAAGCGUUUUCUGCUAAGGUAUGAGAGAAAGCCAGCCAAGAUGGGGAAUUAACCAUCACAAAACAACAGGCUGAAAUAUCCCUGGCUGUCACACAAAAUUGGAAGAAUGCAUCUUCCUAGAAGCCAAAGUGAAAAGACCUUAUAAUAUCAAAGACAUUCCAUGAGGUUCUCAGAAGAGCUUUGUCUUAAUUAAUGAGACUAAAUUAGCUCUAGACUAAAGACACCUUGGAACUUUCUUUAAAAAGAGCUUAAAAGUAAUCCUCAAAAGGAUUCAACUAAUUUCAAGUAUCUUAACAAAUGUCAGGACAAAGACAUAUACUGUAUAAAGGAAUAAAAGAAAAUUCACCAUUAAAAAAAAAAGAACUUUCCAAUAUUUGACAUUCAAUCCAAAGCUACUACGUUUGCAAAAAAGCAGGAAAGUCUGAUCAGUGACCAGGAGAAAAAUCAAUAGAAUCAGAGAUGGCACAGUUGACAGAGUCAGCAGGGAAGGACAUUAAAGUAGCCAUGAUAAAUAUGCUGCAUAUGUUUAAGAUGGUAAAAGAUGACAUGAGCAUGACAAGGAUAGACCUGGAAGACUGUUAAAGACCCAAAUUGAAAACUUGAAAGUCAAAUCUACAAAAUCUGAAUUGAAAAGAACAUUGAGUGACCAGGAUAAAUUGUAUUGGCAUGCCAAAUAAAAUCUGAUCAUUUCAGGUCAAAAAGAAUAUUAAAUGAGA